rnacentral:sRNA from 1 species
GAUACAAGGGUCAAGCAGUCAGAAUGCGUUCCUGCUUGCAGGAUAAGGAUUCUGACCGGUUGAGCCGCCCACAUAUGAGGAAGUAGUGAUUUUUCAUAGAAAAAUCAACGGAUUCCGAAUAUGUGUAGAAUUGCGAGAGUUGCGUAGCAACGGAGCAAUUCGU